GGGUUGUGAGGUUAAGCGACUAAGCGUACACGGUGGAUGCCCUGGCAGUCAGAGGCGAUGAAGGGCGUGCUAAUCUGCGAUAAGCGCCGGUAAGGUGAUAUGAACCGUUAUAACCGGCGAUACCCGAAUGGGGAAACCCAGUGUGAUUCGUCACACUAUCAUUACGUGAAUACAUAGCGUAAUGAAGCGAACCGGGGGAACUGAAACAUCUAAGUACCCCGAGGAAAAGAAAUCAACCGAGAUUCCCCCAGUAGCGGCGAGCGAACGGGGAGGAGCCCAGAGCCUGAAUCAGCAUGUGUGUUAGUGGAAGCGUCUGGAAAGGCGCGCGAUACAGGGUGACAGCCCCGUACACAAAAGCGCAUGUGUUGUGAGCUCGAUGAGUAGGGCGGGACACGUGGUAUCCUGUCUGAAUAUGGGGGGACCAUCCUCCAAGGCUAAAUACUCCUGACUGACCGAUAGUGAACCAGUACCGUGAGGGAAAGGCGAAAAGAACCCCGGCGAGGGGAGUGAAAAAGAACCUGAAACCGUGUACGUACAAGCAGUGGGAGCACCCUUUGGGGUGUGACUGCGUACCUUUUGUAUAAUGGGUCAGCGACUUAUAUUCUGUAGCAAGGUUAACCGAAUAGGGGAGCCGGAGGGAAACCGAGUCUUAA
rnacentral:rRNA from 1 species